rnacentral:rRNA from 2 species
AUUGAACGCUGGCGGCAUGCCUUACACAUGCAAGUCGAACGGUAGCGCGGGGCAACCUGGCGACGAGUGGCGAACGGGUGAGUAAUGCAUCGGAACGUGCCCUGGAAUGGGGGAUAACGUAGCGAAAGUUACGCUAAUACCGCAUAUUCUGUGAGCAGGAAAGCAGGGGAUCGCAAGACCUUGCGUUCUGGGAGCGGCCGAUGUCGGAUUAGCUAGUUGGUGGGGUAAAGGCCUACCAAGGCGACGAUCCGUAGCGGGUCUGAGAGGAUGAUCCGCCACACUGGGACUGAGACACGGCCCAGACUCCUACGGGAGGCAGCAGUGGGGAAUUUUGGACAAUGGGCGGAAGCCUGAUCCAGCCAUGCCGCGUGAGUGAAGAAGGCCUUCG